GUAAUGUGACUAUAACUUCAAUGGGACAAAGGAAAGGUGAAUGAGGAAAAUGGUGAAUAACAGUGCAAGAAAAGAAAUUAAGCAUUCCAUGCUUGGUACCUUCAUAUAUUCAGCACAAGUAACAAGCAACAAGAAAUCUCAUCAGUUUUGUUCUUGCUUUUUUCCAUUUUUUGCUGAUACUCAGUAAUCCAGGGUUUUUCCACCUAUACUGAUUUGAAGUGCAAUUUUGUUUUCAUUCAAGACCUUGGUUCACAAAAAAAAAAAAAAAAAAACCUUUACUUUUCUAAGAUCUUUGUUAUUUGUGACUAUAUAGAUUAGAUUGCAGCAGAAAAUAAUUAGAAUGCCACAAAAAGAGCUAAUCAAUUGAUACUCCUCGAGCAUAGCUUAAAGUAUUGGGUGCAUUUUAGUUUUGUUUUGUGUAUGAUCAGCAUGAUGCCACUGCAAGUAAGGGUACGAUCACAUUUGAAUUGUGUGUUUGCUUUUGUAAAAUUUUUGGUACUACUAGAUUUGUUAUUCUCUAUUGCACGUAACUUUUAAUACCAUUCUAUAGUUGUCACUAUACUGUAAAAGUAUGAUAGCUGAAUUAGUUUCAAAGUGA
rnacentral:lncRNA from 1 species